rnacentral:rRNA from 1 species
GUGUCUGCCUUAUCAACUUUCGAUGGUAGUUUAGGUGCCUACCAUGGUUGUAACGGGUAACGGAGAAUAAGGGUUCGACUCCGGAGAGGGAGCCUGAGAAACGGCUACCACAUCCAAGGAAGGCAGCAGGCGCGCAAAUUACCCAAUCUCGGAAUGAGGAGGUAGUGACGAAAAAUAACGAGACCGUUCUCUUUGAGGCCGGUUAUCGGAAUGGGUACAAUUUAAACCCGUUAACGAGAAUCUAUGAGAGGGCAAGUCUGGUGCCAGCAGCCGCGGUAAUUCCAGCUCUCAAAGUGUAUAUCGUUAUUGCUGCGGUUAAAAAGCUCGUAGUUGGAUCUGCGUCUUAGGGCCUGGUCCGUCCUGUGGACGAGAACUGGGAACCCCUAGACUUCAAAAAGGCCAGUUUUCCCUAUGUUACCUUAAUUGGUUGCAUAGGGUGACGGGGCAAGUUUACCUUGAAAAAAUUAGAGUGCUCAAUGCGGGCUAAUGCCUGAAUAAUGG